GGUGCUGUGGCUCAAGUGGUAGAGCACUAGCCUUGAGUAUGCUCGAGGCCCUGGGUUCGAUUCCUCAGCACCA
rnacentral:tRNA from 1 species